rnacentral:rRNA from 1 species
UGCAGAAUCCCGUGAACCAUCGAGUCUUUGAACGCAAGUUGCGCCCGAAUCCAUCUGGUUGAGGGCACGUCUGCCUGGGUGUCACGUACACAUGCCUCCCGCAAACCUUCCCCUUUUUGUGGACGAAGGGUCUAGCGGGAGCAGAUGAUGGUAUCCCGUGCCCUUUCUGCGCGGCUUGCCUAAAAAUGGAGAUUCGGCGACGAAACGUCACGUCUAGUGGUGGUUGAUGAGGCCUAACGGCCGACCAGUUCGCGGCGUGAUCGUUUGUCGCACGAAAGUCUCGGACGACACCUUGGACGCCCUAUAACGGGCGUGCUACUGUCGCGACCCCAGGUCAGGCGGGACUACCCGCUGAAUUUAAGCAUAUCAAUAAGCGGAGGAAGAGAAACUUACAAGGAUUCCCUUAGUAGCGGCGAGCGAACCGGGAAGAGCCCAGCUUGUAAAUCGGGCAGUCUCGCUGUCUGA